CCUACGGGUGGCAGCAGUGGGGAAUAUUGGGCAAUGGGCGCAAGCCUGACCCAGCAACGCCGCGUGAAGGAAGAAGGCUUUCGGGUUGUAAACUUCUUUUCUCAGGGACGAAGCAAGUGACGGUACCUGAGGAAUAAGCCACGGCUAACUACGUGCCCGCAGCCGCGGAAAUACGUAGGGGGCAAGCGUUAUCCGGAUUUACGGGGUGUAAAGGGCGUGUAGGCGGGAAAGCAAGUCAGAUGUGAAAACCACGGGCUCAACCUGUGGCCUGCAUUUGAAACUGUUUGUCUUGAGUACUGGGGAGGCAGACGGAAUUCGUGGUGUAGCGGUGAAAUGCGUAGAUAUUAGGAGGAACACCAGUGGCGAAGGCGGUCUGCUGGACAGCAACUGACGCUGAGGCGCGAAGGCGUGGGGAGCAAACAGGAUUAGAUACCCGGGUAGUC
rnacentral:rRNA from 1 species